AAAUUGAAGAGUUUGAUCAUGGCUCAGAUUGAACGCUGGCGGCAGGCCUAACACAUGCAAGUCGAACGGUAACAGGAAGCAGCUUGCUGCUUUGCUGACGAGUGGCGGACGGGUGAGUAAUGUCUGGGAAACUGCCUGAUGGAGGGGGAUAACUACUGGAAACGGUGGCUAAUACCGCAUAACGUCGCAAGACCAAAGAGGGGGACCUUCGGGCCUCUUGCCAUCAGAUGUGCCCAGAUGGGAUUAGCUUGUUGGUGAGGUAACGGCUCACCAAGGCGACGAUCCCUAGCUGGUCUGAGAGGAUGACCAGCCACACUGGAACUGAGACACGGUCCAGACUCCUACGGGAGGCAGCAGUGGGGAAUAUUGCACAAUGGGCGCAAGCCUGAUGCAGCCAUGCCGCGUGUAUGAAGAAGGCCUUAGGGUUGUAAAGUACUUUCAGCGGGGAGGAAGGUGUUGCGGUUAAUAACCGCAGCAAUUGACGUUACCCGCAGAAGAAGCACCGGCUAACUCCGUGCCAGCAGCCGCGGUAAUACGGAGGGUGCAAGCGUUAAUCGGAAUUACUGGGCGUAAAGCGCACGCAGGCGGUCUGUCAAGUCGGAUGUGAAAUCCCCGGGCUCAACCUGGGAACUGCAUUCGAAACUGGCAGGCUUGAGUCUUGUAGAGGGGGGUAGAAUUCCAGGUGUAGCGGUGAAAUGCGUAGAGAUCUGGAGGAAUACCGGUGGCGAAGGCGGCCCCCUGGACAAAGACUGACGCUCAGGUGCGAAAGCGUGGGGAGCAAACAGGAUUAGAUACCCUGGUAGUCCACGCCGUAAACGAUGUCUACUUGGAGGUUGUGCCCUUGAGGCGUGGCUUCCGGAGCUAACGCGUUAAGUAGACCGCCUGGGGAGUACGGCCGCAAGGUUAAAACUCAAAUGAAUUGACGGGGGCCCGCACAAGCGGUGGAGCAUGUGGUUUAAUUCGAUGCAACGCGAAGAACC
rnacentral:rRNA from 1 species